UACGGGGGGGGGCAAGCGUUUGUUCGGAAUUACUGGGCGUAAAGGGCGCGUAGGCGGCCUGCUAAGUCACACGUGAAAUCCCUCGGCUCAACCGGGGAACUGCGUGUGAUACUGGCGGGCUUGAAUUCGGGAGAGGGAUGUGGAAUUCCAGGUGUAGCGGUGAAAUGCGUAGAUAUCUGGAGGAACACCGGUGGCGAAGGCGGCAUCCUGGACCGAGAUUGACGCUGAGGCGCGAAAGCUAGGGGAGCAAACGGGG
rnacentral:rRNA from 1 species